rnacentral:tRNA from 1 species
AGUUUUAAUAAUUUAAGUAAAAUAUUGAUCUUGUAAAUCAAAAAUAAAAAAAAAUUUUUUAAAAC